UCCGCCACCGCAAAUCGACAAAAAUCGGAAAACAAGCGCAAUUUUUAAGCUAGAGUUGCGACCUUUGGGACAUAAAAUUUGGCCUUUGAUACAUUUUUGUAUUCGGUAUAUCGGUUAAUUGAUCGGUAUAUUUUAAGAAUAAUACCGCACUGUUUAACUUUUAUUCAAAAAGCGUAGCGGGCACUCACGUCUGUAGUUUUCUAACUUGUUUUCAUCUGAUCUUUAACAAUUAACGAUGAGGUGGAUUCCGAAUUUAUUUCUUUUUGCACUUCUGUGCUCAGUUGCAUUAGCUGCUCCAGGAAGAUUCCGAACAAGACCUAGACCACCUCCACCACCUAGACCACCUAGGCCACCUGGGCAAAGUAAUUAUUUCAACUAAAAUGUUCUAAAUGAGAAGCAAAUAAAUAAAUUUAUUGCCAUAUAA